rnacentral:rRNA from 1 species
UACAUGGGGUGCAAACGUUGCUCGGAAUUAUUGGGCGUAAAGCGCACGUAGGCGGUUCGUUAAGUCGGAUGUGAAAGCCCUCGGCUCAACUGAGGAAGUGCACCCGAAACUGGCGAGCUUGAGUACGAAAGAGGAUCGCGGAAUUCCCGGUGUAGAGGUGAAAUUCGUAGAUAUCGGGAGGAACACCGGUGGCGAAAGCGGCUUCCUGGUCCAGCACCGACGUUCAGGCACGAAAGCGUGGGGAGCAAACAG